UGUUUGUUUUCAUGAGAAAAAUAGAUUAAUCUUGAGAAAAUACGGGCUGUUCUUUUGUGCUCAUGACUGUAGUUUUCAUCUCCUCCUACACAAGGUCUGGUCCUGUUUAGUACCAGGCAGUAGUAAAGCUUUUAUUUCAUUCACUGGAGAAGAAUCAUGUGCCUUAUUAUUAUCCUCAUUCUAUGUAAUUACCAGAUAAAAUUAUUUGAAUAAAUUGGCUUUCCUGACAACCAACCAAAUCAUUUCUAUGUUGGCUUAAAAGCCAAUUUCAUCUCCUUGUAGCACUUCUGCACUGGAAAGCAGGACAAGUACCUGGAGCAGCAAAAGCAAUGUGCCCCAGCCCGGCCCUCACCCCACUGAGAAUCUGGGACUGCUCCACAAAGAUGGCACAUCCCUCUGCUAACCUGCAUGUUUUGCUUUCCAACAGAUCAAAGACUGGCUUUCUGGCAGCGUGAUUACUUGGCUUCCUACGCAGUUCUAGAUCAAACUCCAGUUAAUGAGUCAUUCAGGAUCCUCGUGGUUGGGAAAGACCCCAGUGCUGCCUCGUGCUGCAACGAGCUGCUUGUAGAGACCUGCUCUUCCAGCCAGCUCACCUACCUCCUGUUCACCUAUGGGUCAAGAUAACCACUGCUGACCUCUGGUGAAAUACCCCACCGAGAGACAACGCUGCAGCCUUACAGAGGUCGAGGUCUGCAUUAACCGUAUUGGCAGCAGGGAAGCUCCUCCAGGCUUGGGAGGUACUGAACAAAGGCCUUGGUGCUGAAUGGGAAAACCAGGUGCUUCUGGAAGGUAAGACUCCAUACCUGUACAAAGCCAAAGGGGCACAACAGGCACAGACCUCCUGGAGGAAGCUCAGCUUCAAGAAGGUCAGUGUUCCUGCUCUAAUCAAAGCUGACUGAUGCUACCUUCACGGCUGCUGCUUAAAUUAAAUACCUGGAAACGAGAUGCUGAUAAUCUCUAGAAUUCCUAAACAAAACUUGUAAGUCAUGCCUACAGUGUUAAACCAACCACUUCAGUUUGUGAAGUGGCCAAGGAAAAUACUGCCCUGUGUUACCACCAAGGGCCAGAGGUCAGCACUUAAAGGGAGAGAGUUAUUUGGCAUGAGGCUCUUGCUACAUGAAGUAAGAGAGAGCGAGCUGUUUCUCUAUGGCACUUUUAUAAUGUCUGUGCAUUCUCAAUACAGCAUCCUGUUAAGUAUUUCAUGACUUAUUUACAACUGCUUUUCCCGUAUCUUUAAGUAUAUAUAAGAAACCAACAAACAGGAA